AAUACGUUCCCGGGUCUUGUACACACCGCCCGUCACACCAUGAGAGUUUGUAACACCCAAAGCCGGUGGGGUAACCUUCGGGAGCCAGCCGUCUAAGGUGGGACAGAUGAUUAGGGUGAAGUCGUAACAAGGUAGCCGUAGGAGAACCUGCGGCUGGAUCACCUCCUUUCUAAGGAA
rnacentral:rRNA from 1 species